rnacentral:lncRNA from 1 species
UGACCUCGCAGCUGAUUCUCUAUUCUUUAUCAUUCUCCUUUGUCUCCUUUCGACUACUUUUUCUACAGCACCAAAUUUCCUCCCUCUGUUGAUUCCAUAAGCAACUGGUGAAAGUAAAGGAUCUAAAUUACGCUUUGUAAUUAUGUCUGGCGACAGUUUACUUCCCGGAGAAGCAAUAGGAGCCGUGACAUUCGCCGCGGAUAAACCAAUCAUUCCAACACCAGGAGCUACACUGUUUUGAACUAAUGCACCAUUCAUGGAAUGCUCUUGAACUCCAACCAUUCC